rnacentral:rRNA from 1 species
GACGAACGCUGGCGGCGUGCCUAAUACAUGCAAGUCGAGCGCAGGAAGCCGUCUGAACCCUUCUGGGGGACGACGGUGGAAUGAGCGGCGGACGGGUGAGUAACACGUAAAGAACCUGCCCAUAGGUCUGGGAUAACCACGAGAAAUCGGGGCUAAUACCGGAUGUGUCAUCGGACCGCAUGGUCCGCUGAUGAAAGGCGCUUCGGCGUCGCCCAUGGAUGGCUUUGCGGUGCAUUAGCUAGUUGGUGGGGUAACGGCCCACCAAGGCGACGAUGCAUAGCCGACCUGAGAGGGUGAGCGGCCACACUGGGACUGAGACACGGCCCAGACUCCUACGGGAGGCAGCAGUAGGGAAUCUUCCACAAUGGACGAAAGUCUGAUGGAGCAACGCCGCGUGAACGAUGAAGGCUUUCGGGUCGUAAAGUUCUGUUGUAAGGGAAGAACAAGUGCCGCAGGCAAUGGCGGCACCUUGACGGUACCUUGCGAGAAAGCCACGGCUAACUACGUGCCAGCAGCCGCAGUAACAC